rnacentral:lncRNA from 1 species
AUUUUGGGCUCUAAGUCUUCCUCAGCAACUGGACCCUGUCUAACUGCCAUUAUUAGCGCAGCAAGCCUGGCUUAAAGUGUAAUAAUUGCAUGGCCUCAUUCACCCCAGAGAGAACCACUUGGGAAACAGCUUUGUAAAGACUAUUUUUAAGAGCCUCAGAAAUUUUUUAUUUGCCACCUCUCCUCCUAUCUUGCUUGAAAUUUCUCUAGAUUUGACAACUAUUAACAGAAUCCUACAUCCCAUCUUGUUGCCUUUAAUAUUUCCAAGCCAGGUUGAGACAUAACAUCAAGCCUCUCUACCUCACUUGCUGUUUCUGAUAUAGUAACCUUGGGGAAGAGAGCAGUGAAAUUCUAGCCCUACUUGGAUAGAGAGCAUCUAGCAGGAGAAUAAGCAAAAUCAACGAAAGGAGAGUGGCCAUAGCGUACAGCUUUCUUGUCCAGAUGAUGAUUUGAGAUGCAACUUAAGGCCCCUCCACUGCCUUAAUAAAAUCAAACCAAGCAACCUAAUAUGGGGACCCAAAAGCAGAUGAUGUCUACCUUGCAGAAAGCAAAUGUAUCCUGACACGGUUUACUAACUUAAAGUAUAUAGUAAAGUCGCCAAGACAGUCCUAAUUAUA